UCUCCCUCCGGAUUUCGAAGGGUUCCGGACCCCGCUAAGACCCCGCCCUUGAAGUCCAGCCCCGGGAAGGGGAGGCGGAGAGAACCCCGCGGCCCCAGUCCGGCGGGAGCAGCGCCGCAGGAAAACCCUGCGUCCCCUCCCCAGCUGGCAGGAGUAGCCCCGGCGGCGUGCGCCCAGCAGCUCCCAGAAAGGACUUUCUCCGUGUGCAGAGACCUGGGCCCUGGGCUCCUUGGCCUACUGGUUUCUCUCCCGGAAUCAGGAAAAGACAGACAGAGGACAUUCCUAGAGACCAUGAGUGUGGCCCAGUACUCAUCCUCCCUACUCGCUUCACUGGACGUGUCUUAGGUCCUGCCUUAGGUCCUGCCACUGGGAGAGCAGGUUGUGGUAUUAAGCUCCCUUGAAAACAUCACAGCCUCGCCCUGGGUCCCCAGAGAAGCUGCUAGGACAGAUGUUUGGUUCCCAGAGCAAAAGUAGCGGCCAAAGAACAGAAUGGAUUCCCAACAAUCUGAAGACAUCUGUUUGCUGCAUCUCACCCAGGGGCUUCCCGCGCCUUCAGGAGCAUCAGCAGACCACCCAGGAGCUGUUUCAGGAAGUUUAAAACUGGUUCUCCACCAGGACUCACUGAUAGCCUCAGGAUAUUCCUCUAACCUCAACUUCCUGUGCUGAGGCCCGUGAAGAAGGAAGGAAGAAGACUGAAUCCCAGGACCCACACGGCAGAGGGAGAGAACCAGAGAACCGACUUCUGCAAGUCUCCUCUGACGUAGGCACUGAUGCCACGACAUGUUUGUGGCCACACAAGUACAUACACACAAAAUACAUACACACAAAAUAAGUCAAUAAAUAAAUAAAUACAUAGCUUUAAAAAAUUAUUGCCAGGUGGUGCUGGUGCACACCUUUAAUCCCAGCCCUCGGGAGGUAGAGGCAGGUGGAUCUCUGUGAGUUUGAGGCAAGUGUGGUCUACAGAGUGAGUUCCAGGACAGGCUCCAAAGCUACAAUGAGAAACACUGUCUCAAAAAAAAAAAAAAAAAGAGGAAACAAUAAAUUUUUAUGCAUAUGGAUGUUUUGUCUAGAUGUAAGUCUGGGCAUCACUUGCCUGGCACCUAGGGAAGUGUAUUUGGCCUCCUGGAACUGGAGUUACUGCCCAUGUAGGUGAUGAGAACUUGAACCCAGGACUGAAAGAGCAACCAGGGCUCUUAACCACUCAGUCAUCUCUCCAGCUAGCAGUUCCACAAUUUUGGCCUAGUAUUCAUGACCUGGGUUUGUAUCUCCAGCACUGCAAUAUGCUGUGUAUUAUGAAUACAUUUUGCAUUAGAUAAUUAUUUGUCUUGACUACUGAGGUUUUGCCACACUCCCUCAAAUUUUGCACCCUAAAUGUUAGGCACCUCUCUUGCUUCCUUUUCCUACAACUUCACUCGGUAUGUAUCUGUUUAUUAUUGGGACAGGGUCCCAUGUAGCCCAGGCUGACCUCAAACUUAAUAUGUACUUGAGGAUGACUUAAAUUCCUGACCCUCUUACCUACCCCUGGGAUUAUGGCCUGAGCCACCUUGCCCAACUCUCCUAUAGCUUUGUCCUCCUAAGGUCUGGACUCUUCACCUCCUUUCUCACCUCGUCAGAGGGCCUUACCUCUGCCAUGCAGCCAUCAGCAAAAAUCCCUCUCCUUUUCCUUUUUGAUCUGGGCCAGGCAGCUUUGCUACCAGAUCAGAGAGUCGCUGCCCUUGGGCAGCUGCUAAAUAAGAAGGCACACGAUGGCAUAGUUACAAGACCUGUUGCUGUCUUUAGCCAAAAUCUCACUGUGUAUUUCAUCCUCCUGCCUCAGCAUCCUUAACGCUGGGGUUACAGGUGUCUAGGCCACCUGUGACUGCUGUAGAAUUCUGAUGACCCUAGGAAGGGACCCAUCUGGGGUUGUAGGGACAAAGAACCUGGAAGGCCUCUGCCUCAGUUCCCAUCCAUGUAAUCUGCUGCGUCCAUGCCUGAACAAGUCCUAAGUCACUGUUGCUAAAAUUCCUGGGGGAGACUUAAAUGAUGGGUCCCUCCCCUCAAGUUCUCAACAGCAAACCAAGGUGUGAGGCCAUCAAAGUUCUCGCUGGCACCAAUGAUGAGUUUGUCUGACUUACAGAGUGCAUUUGAGAGGUCACACCUUCCUGGUCUAGGAGGCAGCCUGAAGUUGGACACUGGACUGGGGAAGAGCACGAUUCACACAACAAUGGUCUCCUGGGACAUUGCUGCAGCCUGGUGCCCAGGUGGCCUCAGACUUCAAGGCCAUGCAGGAGGGGAAAGUGAAUUGUAAAUCAAACCCUGGGUACCUGGAAUCUGAAAAUCUGGACUCUGAUCUUAUUUAUUUAUUUAUGCUCUUUUAGAUUUAUUCAUUUUACAUGCAUAUGUGUGUGAGCCAGC